rnacentral:rRNA from 1 species
UGCAGCAAAAAACACCAUCACUGUGCCCGAUCCCAUCAAAUCUCUGACGCUAAGCUGAGUUGAACCUGGUUAGUGUGGAUCGGAGACUUCCUGGUAACACCAGAUGCUGUCG